GACGAACGCUGGCGGCGUGCCUAAUACAUGCAAGUCGAGCGGACCAAUAGAAGCUUGCUUCUGUUGGUUAGCGGCGGACGGGUGAGUAACACGUGGGCAACCUGCCUGUAAGACUGGGAUAACUUCGGGAAACCGGAGCUAAUACCGGAUAAUUCAUCCCCUCGCAUGAGGGGAUGCUGAAUGUCGGUUUACGCUGACACUUACAGAUGGGCCGGCGGCGCAUUAGCUAGUUGGUGAGGUAAUGGCUCACCAAGGCGACGAAGCGUAGCCGACCUGAGAGGGUGAUCGGCCACACUGGGACUGAGACACGGCCCAGACUCCUACGGGAGGCAGCAGUAGGGAAUCUUCCACAAUGGACGAAAGUCUGAUGGAGCAACGCCGCGUGAGCGAUGAAGGCCUUCGGGUCGUAAAGCUCUGUUGUUAGGGAAGAACAAGUAUCGGAGUAACUGCCGGUACCUUGACGGUACCUAACCAGAAAGCCACGGCUAACUACGUGCCAGCCGCCGCCGUAA
rnacentral:rRNA from 1 species